rnacentral:rRNA from 1 species
UGUGCGUCUACCUCCCACGACUGCACAACGCGAAGAACCUUACCCACCUUUGACAUGUACGGAAUCCUUUAGAGAUAGAGGAGUGCUCGAAAGAGAGCCGUAACACAGGUGCUGCAUGGCUGUCGUCAGCUCGUGUCGUGAGAUGUUGGGUUAAGUCCCGCAACGAGCGCAACCCUUGCCAUUAGUUGCUACAUUUAGUUGAGCACUCUAAUGGGACUGCCGGUGACAAACCGGAGGAAGGUGGGGAUGACGUCAAGUCCUCAUGGCCCUUAUAGGGUGGGGCUACACACGUCAUACAAUGGCUGGUACAAAGGGUUGCCAACCCGCGAGGGGGAGCUAAUCCCAUAAAGCCAGUCGUAGUCCGGAUCGCAGUCUGCAACUCGACUGCGUGAAGUCGGAAUCGCUAGUAAUCGUGGAUCAGAAUGUCACGGUGAAUACGUUCCCGGGUCUUGUACACACCG